ensembl:rRNA 5S_rRNA 5S ribosomal RNA
GCUUACGGCCACACCUACCUCAGCACGCCCGAUCUCGUCUGAUCUCGGAAGCUAAGCAGGGUCUGGCCUGGUUAGUACUUGGAUGAGAGACGGCCUGGGAAUACCAGGUCCUGUAAGCU